rnacentral:rRNA from 1 species
UACAGAGGGGGCUAGCGUUAUUCGGAAUUAUUGGGCGUAAAGGGCGCGUAGGCGGCCAUGCGUGUCUUCCGUGAAAUCCCUCGGCUUAACUGAGGACGUGCGGAAGAAACUGCAAGGCUCGAGUCCGGGAGAGGGGGGUGGAAUUCCCAGUGUAGCGGUGAAAUGCGUAGAUAUUGGGAGGAACACCGGUGGCGAAGGCGGCUACCUGGACCGGAACUGACGCUGAUGCGCGAAAGCGUGGGUAGCAAACAGG